ACCUAUAAAAGGCGGCCGGCCGGCCAGCCGCGGCGCAUUCGUAAACAAACCCUGGUUCAGUUCGGACGUUGCGAACACCCGAAGACCCCCUUCACCCUCCACCAUCAGUGUAACACACUUCGGCUUCUUACUUCGUCGAGACCGCCGGCACAGGAAAAUGUAGGCGAGCGGGCACCAGGUGCGGAGCGCGACAGUUUACCUGCACCCUACGGGGUCGGUGCUUGAACAAUCCGUACGCGACGAUAACAGCCGUGAUUAGAAUUUGAAAUUCCUUCACACUUUGAACAAAUAUGAGAAGAGAACCUCGAGAUAUAGUUUAGAGCAGACUCGUAGUGUUUGAUCCAAAACCGUCGGCACCAUCUGCCUCCUCUAAUACUGCACACUGAGGCGCAGGGAACAUUGGGAACAUUGGAAAAGCAAAAGUCAAAUAUGUAACGUAAGCCGCAUCAGCUAUAACAAAGACGAAAGAGGGGAGAAAGAGCGAAAAAGCGAGAGAAGAGGAUAGAGGGGGAGAGAGAGAGGAGCUCCGCUCGUUCGCGGUCAAGUCCGCGAAUGAGGGAGCAGGGCGGAUGUUAACGCGGAUUGUCUCGGCUCGAUCGAGCGUACCUUUUUGGGCGCCGUGAUAGUUAGUACACCAUCCGAGGAGAGGGUCGAGGUGACGUUGGCGAGGUCGUGAGAUGGGGGCAGGACGUAUCUGCGUACGAAGUGUCUGCUGAUGUAGCCGUGUUCGUCUUGCUUCUCCUCGUGCUUGGCCUCGACAAUAACGUGAUUGUCGACCGUUUUCACCGUAAUCUCGUCCGGUGAGAAUUGUUGCACAUCCAGUAUCACCUGCGGAUCAAAGAGCGCGGACCCGCGGGGAGGCCCCGGAAAUCAUUAGCUUGCUCAGGACUCUCUCUCUUCCGCCAUCGAGGACAGAAGUCUCGCAUUCUUCCGUGAGCGAUUGUAAACAGCCGCCAUGCAUCCAUAAAGCGAAAGUUAAGUAUCGAUCACUUCCGAACGAGCUUACUCCGGAAAUAAUGGUCGAUUUCUGAGCAAUAAAACCCAUCAUUUUUUUCUUGUAUCGCGCGAUUACGCGUCUUUACUUUGAUGUUUCUUAUUCUUGGCUACUUGAAUUUUCAUCGGAAGAGAAUGUCGAACAUCUAAAUUUUAAAUCAUACUCUGAAACAACAUACAUUAGGCGAGCUAUCUUACAAUAAUUUUGGCUUUAUCAUCUGGAGCAACGCUUCAUUCGAUUUCAAAUUCUCAUUUCGCUAUCGCGUUUAAAAAGCCGCUGAUCAAACCUGGUUGUUGGAGUUUCCGCAACGAGCGAGGGAAAUGACAAUUCGGCCAAUAUUCUAAAUCCUGUUUAUCAGAUAAGUGCGUCGUGAAACUACCGUUUUCCUUUUCGUCUAGAUUCUCUCAUAUGUAAUCUUUCGCAUUUUCUUUUAGAUUAUCGCGCACUAUGGUACAAAAAUAAACCGGGAAGAUGUAGUUGCCGGGCGCACCUACUUGUGUGAAAUUGUUCCUUUUUUUUUGGACGAACAAAAAAACGAGCAUACAUACAAGUAGGUGAUUCUUCUUUAUUUAUAGCGAGUGCGCGGUCGUGCAGGGAGCGAUUGGUUGCGAUCGCGGUGGUUAGUCCCUUUGUGGACGGCGUUUUUGAAGUAUAGGUACGAGGUACAGAUCACAAAAAACAAGAACAAAAAAAACCAAAAAAAAUAAAUAAAACAGAUAAAGAGAAGAUAAAUACAUUUUUGACAUAGAGUGAGGAAGCUCUAACAACCGAUGAUAGUAAGGCAGGCGUAUUUCCGAGUUUCUCCGGGUGAUCCUGCGUGAUCCUGGAACUCGGUUGCGAACGCGAGCGCGAAAAUAUUAGCGGAGGAUAAUUGGCUGUGCAUUUUGAAAAUAGUACCAAAAAAAAAAAACAAGAAAGAGAGAAGAACAAAAAAGUAGUUUGCGGAGCGGUUGCUCCGCAAACGGGUCGACUCGAGUGCUGCGCGCAGAGCGACAUAUAUUUGUACAAAUAAAGAGAUAAAAAAAGUUCCGUGUAAGAAGAAAAAAAGCAUAAAAGUCAUUUUGUACGAUUCUAUUGUUGUGGGUAUUCAAAAAGCAUUUAUUUUUGUAUAGAGAUUAUAAACGGGGAGGGUCGAGGCCCGCGGGUCUCGUGCGCGUGAGCGACGCACCCUUUGAGAUGGGGGUACGUCGAUGCUCAUUGGGACAACACGUACGCCGCACGCGAGUCUCGGUUCUUCCAUUACAACAAGACUGACUAAGCGCGACGCGAUAUAUCCACUCUUUCGGUUGCAUAUUUUAUUCCGUGGCUGCUGCGCGCGAUUUCUCGCGUGCGACUUUGAACGAAAAUCAUCAAGAACUUACGAAUGAAAUAGGUAGUCACCUCGGAUCUGCGGCAGGCAAACCGUGCGCGCGAUUGCGCGAGAAAAAAAUAUCGCAGAAAGAGAAGGAAGAACGGAAGUAAUAAAAAAGCACGUAUACACACACACACACACACACAUACACACACACACAUAUACACAUUAUACAAAAAAAUUAAAGAAGGGGGAGGUAAAACGAGAACUGUGGUAAAACUGUGAUUUCAUAGAGAUUCCGAAACCGGCGUGACUGACCGGAGAUCGUGCAGCACGAUCGUCCUCUUUUGAUACGCGUACCUUUCCUAGAGCAUUUCCGGCAAACGAGAAGGAUAACUGGUUCCUCUAGACUGCAGUCUUAACAUCGUUACACAACCAGAUUAUAAUUCAAAAUAGGGCGAUUAGAUGAACUACCACGUUGUAGGAGAAGCUAGAUUUUCUCGGCACAAAAGAGAUCAUUGUAAAAGGGGACAGAUAAUGCCGUAAAUGUUUCCCUGACGAACAUCUGAUUAUUCGAAUUUCUGCAGCGAACAGAAAAAAAAAAGAGAAAGAAAAGACAAAAAUAGUUUAUUCGUAAAAGAGAGAAAAAAAAGAAGGAAAAGUCGUCUCUCCAAUCCGAUUUACUCGCUCUCCCUCCUCCAGAGGGAGAGUGCAACAUUCCCCUACCCCCCCGAAAAUAAUUCCGAUCGAACACUCGUUUCACCAUCCCGACCCGUUGAAGACCGAGCUGCCGCCCUUCCGGUCGACUUAGCAUCGCGUGCGCGACCGUGUGAUUAUGAGAGCGUGAUUAAAACGUGUAAUGCAUAAUGUGUGCAUAAUGACGAGAAAGACAGCGGCAGCUGCAGCAGAUGCAGCCAUCAGUUUUUCGGGCCUUCUGGUGUUCCGGAUUUUUUCCGUUCGUUGCUUUUAGUCACCCUUAGCGAGCGUUGAAUUUCUCCCUUGCGUUUGAUUUCAUCCCCUAUUCGUUAGGGGUUUUAUUUUCUUUUCAUUUUAAUGGCCGCGCGCGGCUGAUUCGCCUCCUUUGGAAGUAACGUUCGAGUCCACCGUAGAUAAAAACCUACCCUUGAAUUUUUAGCCGUUAAUCCUCUUUUCUCCUCCCUUCCCUCCCCUUCCUUUCUCCUUCCCUUUCUCCCCCUCCUUCCUUUCCUUUUUAUUUUUUUUUCUUACGAAUGCGCCCUUUCCUUUCCUCUCACAUCACACCCGUCAUCUUCCGUCAUUUAUCUCCCGCGACUUUUCUAGAUUUCGAAAUCUAAUUACGAUUCGUCGCUACUCGUUUUUUCGCUAGAAGAUAUCGUAAAAGAAAGUAUCUUCCCCUAUAAUACACUUAUUACAUAUUGUACUUUUUUUCGUAGGAUAUAUAUCACUCGAGGCUCUUUGUACUUGACACAAAAUUCGUUUUGCGUCUAAUACAAAUCGCGCUCAAGCUACUAAUACCAAAAUAAGGAGCAAAGAACCGUUAAAGAAUUUAAGUCCUGUCUUAAUUUAAGUUAUACCACAUAAUUAGUCACAUUCCGUUCGCUGUUGCAUCAUCGAACCUAUUCGAAGAGAUAAAUAUAAUUGUAACGCAUUGCGAGGCAGAUCGAUUUGAUGAAUUCAUGAAUUUAGAACUGUCAGAAGAAUUGUGUUACAUUAACAAAAAAUUAAUAUAAUUUUAUAAAAAUUAAUAUAAUUUGAUGAACCGAAAACAUUUAUAAAUUUAUGAGUGUGGCUGGAAGCUUUUAGGUAAACUUGCAUUUUUGUAUUUUGUAAUAGCUGCAAGAUAAGAAAGAGAGAGCAUUAUUUUAGACCAUAAAUAAGUUGUUGUUGCAUAACCGGUUAUAUUCCAUUGGCUGUUAUAUCAUCGAGCCACCAAAGAUAAAUAAGAUAAAUUACAGCACAACUGACGGCUUUUGCGAAUUCAUGAUUUUAGACGCGUUGCGACACGCUUCCGUGGCGAGUAAUGACGUAUCUGCAGCUUGCGUACAACAUAAAUUUAAAACUGUUAGGCGACUCAGAUAACUAAUGUAAAUUAAUACGAUCGAUAUUACUGUCGAGUUACUAAGUUACUAGAUCUGAAGUGUGAUAGAUUGAACGAUCUUGAGGAUCGAGAAGUAGAACGAUCUCGCGGACGUUUUAUCCAGUGCGAAAUUAAAACGAAAGAUUCAACGACAUAUAUAUAACUAAAAGGGACAAUAGUGCCCUUUAUCCUCUAUUAAAAUCUUUUAGAGAGAGAGAGCUCUUUGCGCAAAUUAAAGCGAUCUAAAUUCAAUUCGCGGUACUCAAAUACAACAAUAUGACGGCAAGUCUUUCAAUCGAUUCUUGAUUCUCGACUUCGUCUAUAUGUUUUAGGAUAACUGCAGCGUAAGAUAAUCGGUAUAUUCCGCAGCGCGUGUUAAUCUUAAGCAUUAAUCGCGUGCAUAUCAUCCCGAAUCGCGAGCCUCGUGUGGACAUUUUUGGCCUGCAUUCCGAAAGCCGUAGCUUCCUGACCUGAUCGAAGAGUCGCGAUCGGCUAUCGGCUUUAAUUUUCCCGUAAUCCGAGAAAACCGAGAUUAGGACAGCCGCGAAUAGUUCCACGGCAUUACACACAACGACUAAAAAUACACGAAAAACCCGUCUGAAAAUAGCACGUUGCAUCAAUCACUCGCGUUCGGGACAUUCUGUGGUAAUUUUAACGCGCGUUGCUUCUCGUUUACGCUUUCUUGCCGCACUACGAAAAUCAAAUCGGACGAACGCACAUUCGUCAGGAAAGUACUAUCGAUAAUUUCUCUAUUUUGUGCCAUUUUGAGAUUAGGAGGCUUACCUCCGGAAGUUUUUUUAAGAGUACACGCGGUCAAAGAGGCUUGCAAUAAUUAUAAGCAAUUUAGCAUAACGACAUUCUCCUGAGACGAAAGUAGCGGUGAAAUUCGAAUUGCAAGGGAUCAAUUGAGAAGUGAAAUUUUAUCAUCGAUUUGAGUUAUCGAUUAUUAUUAUUGAGUCGAUUAUUAUACAAGUGAAACAUUGAAUUUUUUCUGAAUUUUUAUUAGAUCUUAAUAAUUUUCGGCCAAUUCCUAUCUUUCGCAGGAUCCUGGCUAAUUUUGUCCAGGAUCCUGCGAAAGAUGGAAUUGGACCGUUGUUGAGCAGUACUUCCGCCCUAAUAAUCUUAAGUAAGCUUUUAACACUUUCCCGACAAAAGCUCCAUUAUUAACAAUUUCAUCAAGAAAGAUUUGACUAAAAUCAAUUAAAUCUAACGUCUCGAAUUGAGAACACGAAAUAGGAUAUAUGAAUUAUAGUUGCAGAAUGAAAAAUUAAUUUCGACAAAAACAUACAAUAUUUUGAAUUCAAUAAAUCCGUCUGAUCGUAAGACUUGCACGCAACUAGGCUAAAACGAUGUGAUGAUUAAAUUCGCGUUUUAGACAGACAAUCGUGGAUAUGUCAUAAUGAUUAAAAUAAUGGCAAAUAAAGUACUGGCAAAAGCAAAAUCAGCAUCUUUAGAAUGCAAAGCUUGUAAUUUCAGACCAUUUUUCAUGUUUCACCAUGAAUACAAAGAUGAAUAGUUUGAUGAAAUAAUAAAGAUGACUUCACAGUGUAACGUCAUGUAACAUGGACGAGCAUUAUUGCGAAAAGAAACAUAUUUUCUGACUAUCCGAUCUAAAAGUAUAUACAAAACUAUCUCUCAUUACUAUUUUUCGAUACCAUAAACCGAGUAUAUCUCUAGCAAUAUCUAACAAA
rnacentral:lncRNA from 1 species